rnacentral:tRNA from 1 species
UUAAUUGAAGCCAAAAAGAGGCUUAUCACUGUUAAUGAUAGAACUGAAAUAUAUUUCCAAUUAAA